CUCACUGCUUCCUGUCCAAGAGGUCACUUCCUGUUUGAGUAUGUUUGAGUUGCAAACAGUUGUUGGGCUGCUCUUAGCAGCUGUGCCAUUUUCUAACAAAGCCAAGAAAAAGAAAAGCAUGCUGGUGACUCUUAGCCUGCUUCUGGUUUUCCUGGCUCCUGCCAGCCAGUUAACUUUCAACUUGGAAGGAAGAAAGGCAUCCAUCACCAGGCAGACCGGCUCAUCUGUUGUAAUCACUUGUGGUGUUCUUGCUCAGACAAUCACCUACAUGCACUGGUACAAAUACCAAGAGGGAGAAGCCCCGGAGCGCCUUCUCUACUAUGAUUUCUCCAAAUCAAAGUUUGUGGUGGAAUCGGGAAUCAUUUCAGGAAAGUACCAUGCUUAUAAAUUUACAGAGAAUAGCUGCAAAUUCGUAAUUCGAAAUCUAGACAGAAACGAUAUCGGUGUGUAUUUCUGUGCUGCGUGGGACAGUCACAGUGAUUCAGCCUUGCCCAGAACUGCAGUGAAAAGUUUGCUUGUAUCUGCCAAGGGAAAGACCUUCGCCUGCCUCAUUUCCUGCCUCAACUUCAUUGUCUUUUGAAGGGGGGGGGGCGGGGAAACCUGGGGAACCAAUCAAUACCCUCUGCCCUUAUCCCCAGCUAUGUUCUAACUCCUCAAUGCAUCAUAAGACUUUUCACCUCUAGAUCUUAGAUCAGCCGCCUGGCAGAAAUAGCUUUUUGAGCUCCCUUAAGACCUAGGAGCUGGUAGAAUCCAUUCACUAUGCUUUUUCAAACAGAGAAGAUCAUCUUGGAUUGAGUUUUAGGGGAGACAUUUGGAAGAGAAAUGGAAAGGUAAUUGUGUUGACUCAUUUAAAAAAUUUUUUUAUUUAUAAAAAGGAAACAUUAACAAAACCACAGGAUAAGAG